rnacentral:rRNA from 1 species
UACGAAGGGGGCUAGCGUUGCUCGGAAUCACGUGGCGUAAAGCGCACGUAGGCGGAUUGCUAAGUCAGGGGUGAAAUCCUGGAGCUCAACUCCAGAACUGCCUUUGAUACUGGCGACCUUGAGUCCGGGAGAGGUGAGUGGAACUGCGAGUGUAGAGGUGAAAUUCGUAGAUAUUCGCAAGAACACCAGUGGCGAAGGCGGCUCACUGGCCCGAUACUGACGCUGAGGCACGAAAGCGUGGGGAGCAAACAGG